UGUCGUAUAACUCAAUGGUAGAGUGCUUGACUGUUAAUCAAGAAGUUGUAGGUUCGAGUCCUACUACGACAG
rfam:Bacillus phage Bobb, complete genome.